rnacentral:piRNA from 5 species
UCCAGGUUCGACUCCUGGCUGGCUCGC